UGGGGAAUAUUGCACAAUGGGCGCAAGCCUGAUGCAGCCAUGCCGCGUGUAUGAAGAAGGCCUUCGGGUUGUAAAGUACUUUCAGUCGGGAGGAAGGUGGCAAGGUUAAUAACCUUGGCAAUUGACGUUACCGACAGAAGAAGCACCGGCUAACUCCGUGCCAGCAGCCGCGGUAAUACGGAGGGUGCAAGCGUUAAUCGGAAUUACUGGGCGUAAAGCGCACGCAGGCGGUUGAUUGAGUCAGAUGUGAAAUCCCCGGGCUUAACCCGGGAAUUGCAUCUGAUACUGGUCAGCUAGAGUCUUGUAGAGGGGGGUAGAAUUCCAUGUGUAGCGGUGAAAUGCGUAGAGAUGUGGAGGAAUACCGGUGGCGAAGGCGGCCCCCUGGACAAAGACUGACGCUCAGGUGCGAAAGCGUGGGGAGCAAACAGG
rnacentral:rRNA from 1 species